UACGUAGGAGGCAAGCGUUGUCCGGAGUUACUGGGCGUAAAGCGCACGCCAGGCGGUCCUAUUAGUCUGGGGUGACAGUUCCCGGCUUAACCGGAAAAGGACUCUGGAAACUGUAGGACUUGAGGGCUUCAGAGGGAUGUGGAAUUCCAGGUGGAGUGGUGAAAUGCGUAGAGAUCUGGAAGAACACCAAAGGCGAAGGCAGCAUCCUGGGAAGUUCCUGACGCGUCGG
rnacentral:rRNA from 1 species